rnacentral:rRNA from 1 species
AGCGAACGCUGACGGCAGGCCUAACACAUGCAAGUCGAACGAAGUCUUCGGACUUAGUGGCGGACGGGUGAGUAACACGUGGGAACGUGCCUUUAGGUUCGGAAUAACUCAGGGAAACUUGUGCUAAUACCGAAUGUGCCCUUCGGGGGAAAGAUUUAUCGCCUUUAGAGCGGCCCGCGUCUGAUUAGCUAGUUGGUGAGGUAAAGGCUCACCAAGUCGACGAUCAGUAGCUGGUCUGAGAGGAUGAUCAGCCACAUUGGGACUGAGACACGGCCCAAACUCCUACGGGAGGCAGCAGUGGGGAAUCUUGCGCAAUGGGCGAAAGCCUGACGCAGCCAUGCCGCGUGAAUGAUGAAGGUCUUAGGAUUGUAAAAUUCUUUCACCGGGGACGAUAAUGACGGUACCCGGAGAAGAAGCCCCGGCUAACUUCGUGCCAGCCGCCGCGGUAA